UUUCCGUAGGUGAACCUGCGGAAGGAUCAUUCAUAAUAAGUGUUUUAUGGCACUUUUUUAAAUCCAUAUCCACCUUGUGUGCAAUGUCAGGGUUGAUUUUUCUCUCGAGAGGAUCAACCCCAAACAUCAACUAUAUCUCAACUCUUUGUCUGAAAAAUAUUAUGAAUAAAACCAUUCAAAAUACAACUUUCAACAACGGAUCUCUUGGUUCUG
rnacentral:misc_RNA from 1 species